CAGGUCGGCCGGAUGGUCGCGGUCCCCUAGCCGGGGGAUCGAGGAAAGUCCGCACUCCACAGAGCACGGUGCCGGGUAACACCCGGGGCGGGAUAACCUGCCGGAUCGGGCCACAGAGACAUACCGCGGGUUGAUGAUUGAAGAUUACCGAUUGUGGAUUGGGUCCCUUUCCGCAAUGAGCAAUUGAAAAUCAGUCAAUCCGCAAGGGUGAAAAGGUGGUGUAAGAGACCACCGGCGCCCCCAGCAAUGGGGGCGGCCAGGCAACCCCCACCGGGAGCAAGGCCAAGCAGGGGUGAGUGGAUUGAGGAUUGUGGAUUGUUGAGUUUCAACUCAUCAUUCAUAAAUCGAAGAUCAACGAUCCAGGGAGGCUGCUCGUCUUCCGGCUCCAGAGAUGGAGCCAUAGCCCCGGGUAGGCUGCUCAGACAGAUGACCAUCCAGGCGGGAUCACCGCCGGACAGAAUGCGGCUUACAGGCUGACCUGUCGG
rnacentral:RNase_P_RNA from 1 species